rnacentral:rRNA from 1 species
CCGGUCUGAACUCAGAUCACGUAAGAAUUUAAAAGUCGAACAGACUUAACAUUUAAGCGACUACACCUAAAUAUAUCUUUUAAUCCAACAUCGAGGUCGCAAUCUUUUUUAUCGAUAAGAACUCUCCAAAAAAAUUACGCUGUUAUCCCUAAAGUAACUUAAAUUUUUAAUCGUUAAUAACGGAUCAACUAUUCAUUAAUUAAUGAUUUUAAUAAUUAAAAGUUUAUUAAAUUUUAAUAUCACCCCAAUAAAAUAUUAUUAAUUAUUAUAAUAAAAAUAAUCUAUAAAAUUAUAAUAAAUUAAAUAUAAAGAUUUAUAGGGUCUUCUCGUCUUUUAAAUAAAUUUUAGCUUUUUGACUAAAAAAUAAAAUUCUAUUAUAAAUUUUUAUGAAACARUUAAUAUCUCGUCCAACCAUUCAUACCAGCCUUCAAUUAAAAGACUAAUGAUUAUGCUACCUUUGCACAGUUAAUAUACUGCGGCCAUUUAAAAAUUAUUCAUUGGGCAGGUUAGAMUUUAAAAAUAAUNNAUAAAGACAUGUUUUUGUUAAACAGGCG